rnacentral:rRNA from 1 species
GAUGAACGCUGGCGGCGUGCCUAAUACAUGCAAGUCGAGCGAACGGACGAGAAGCUUGCUUUUCUGAUGUUAGCGGCGGACGGGUGAGUAACACGUGGAUAACCUACCUAUAAGACUGGGAUAACUUCGGGAAACCGGAGCUAAUACCGGAUAAUAUUUUGAACCGCAUGGUUCAAAAGUGAAAGACGGUCUUGCUGUCACUUAUAGAUGGAUCCGCGCUGCAUUAGCUAGUUGGUAAGGUAACGGCUUACCAAGGCAACGAUGCAUAGCCGACCUGAGAGGGUGAUCGGCCACACUGGAACUGAGACACGGUCCAGACUCCUACGGGAGGCAGCAGUAGGGAAUCUUCCGCAAUGGGCGAAAGCCUGACGGAGCAACGCCGCGUGAGUGAUGAAGGUCUUCGGAUCGUAAAACUCUGUUAUUAGGGAAGAACAUAUGUGUAAGUAACUGUGCACAUCUUGACGGUACCUAAUCAGAAAGCCACGGCUAACUACGUGCCAGCAGCCGCGGUAAUACGUAGGUGGCAAGCGUUAUCCGGAAUUAUUGGGCGUAAAGCGCGCGUAGGCGGUUUUUUAAGUCUGAUGUGAAAGCCCACGGCUCAACCGUGGAGGGUCAUUGGAAACUGGAAAACUUGAGUGCAGAAGAGGAAAGUGGAAUUCCAUGUGUAGCGGUGAAAUGCGCAGAGAUGUGGAGGAACACCAGUGGCGAAGGCGACUUUCUGGUCUGUAACUGACGCUGAUGUGCGAAAGCGUGGGGAUCAAACAGGAUUAGAUACCCUGGUAGUCUACGCCGUAAACGAUGAGUGCUAAGUGUUAGGGGGUUUCCGCCCCUUAGUGCUGCAGCUAACGCAUUAAGCACUCCGCCUGGGGAGUACGACCGCAAGGUUGAAACUCAAAGGAAUUGACGGGGGCCCGCACAAGCGGUGGAGCAUGUGGUUUAAUUCGAAGCAACGCGAAGAACCUUACCAAAUCUUGACAUCCUUUGACAACUCUAGAGAUAGAGCCUUCCCCUUCGGGGGACAAAGUGACAGGUGGUGCAUGGUUGUCGUCAGCUCGUGUCGUGAGAUGUUGGGUUAAGUCCCGCAACGAGCGCAACCCUUAAGCUUAGUUGCCAUCAUUAAGUUGGGCACUCUAAGUUGACUGCCGGUGACAAACCGGAGGAAGGUGGGGAUGACGUCAAAUCAUCAUGCCCCUUAUGAUUUGGGCUACACACGUGCUACAAUGGACAAUACAAAGGGCAGCGAAACCGCGAGGUCAAGCAAAUCCCAUAAAGUUGUUCUCAGUUCGGAUUGUAGUCUGCAACUCGACUACAUGAAGCUGGAAUCGCUAGUAAUCGUAGAUCAGCAUGCUACGGUGAAUACGUUCCCGGGUCU